GCCUCGCUCCCCCCAGAGCUGCGGCCUCAGCCCGGCCCCGCCGCCCGCCUCCCUCCCUGCCCCACUGUCAGAGCCGCCCGCCCGCGUGGCAGCGGGCACAGCGGGGCGUGUGGCGUUUCCCUGCGGUGGCUGCUUUGGUACUGGGGGACGACAGCUGUGUCCCACGCGGUGUCCGUCCGUCCGUCCAUCCAUCCAUCCAUCCAUCCAUCCAUCCAUCCAUCCCUGAGUGGGCGGCGGCUCGUGUGUGUGUGUGACUGACAGUGAGGCGCGCACAGCGCGGGGGCAGCCGCUCGCACGCAGCCCGCCGGGGCCACGCCGGCGCGCCCCGGCUGCGGCAGCCACUUCUCCGUCCCCUGGAGCCCUCCCCGGUGGGGACAACCUCAGCGGCCUCGCUGCUCGUCCUCCUCCUCCCUCCUGGCGGGACCUUCGCCUUCUGAAACGGGAACUGAAAUUUGGCUCGUCAGCAUCGAGUUGCUGAUGAAAAUCUUGAUCACCUCAGCAUUUGUCAUCUUUUUGUCUCCUUAAGAAAAAAAAAGUUAGGAGAAGUGUUUUCUCACAGUGACACAGAACACAGCACAUUGUAACUACAGGAACAGACUCGACUGUGAAAGAUCUCUAUCAGGCAUCACAGAGAAUUUGAGGCAGCUGGCAGUUAUCAGCUGAAGCAGUAAGCCAGUAGAACUGUACAAGCUAAAUAGAUAAUUGAAAAGCAAUCUGGAAACCUGGGAGAGAUAAUAAGCCUCUCUUCUAGAAGGGAGGUAACAACUCAGGUCAAAAAUGCGUGUCUACAUUUUGGAGGACAGAUAUCAAACAAGUUCUUCUCCUAACACACAAAUCAACAGCAGGAGACUUUUGAAGAAGAAAACACACAAUAUUUACAUGUGUGGUUCUAAAGUCUACUAUAAGGAAGCAGAAGUCAACUUUCCAUUUGGGGAAGGUCAUAGAUUGCUAAUCCAAACCCUGUUUUCCCAACAAAUGGCAAUUUGUUUGUAGGUAUUCACAUAUGUCCUCUUACUUUUUGGUGACUUUCUUGCUCUUUAACAAUAAGGCCUGAUGUAACUUAUGAUGGUGCCCCAGGAUCACACUGUUUUGUUUUGUUUAUUCCACAAAAUCAGUAAUAAUAGUUUCUUUUUUCCCAUUUACAUUUUUUUUGUCAGUUAUUGUCUCAUUGUCAGUAAUGUCGUUGAAUGCACAAGUCUGAUACUGAAUUGGUAUUCAAAUACCUACUUCUUAUCAAAUAGCUUGAAUUCUGCAACAAUUUAUUGUGGUCUAUGGUGAGACUUAGGUGCAGAUUGAGACAUCUUAGGCAUCUAUAUGGAAGAGCUCAGGUGUAAACUAUAUGUGUAAACUCUUGCUCUAGACAAGAGUCAAUGCAAUCUGUGGACCCCUCUUGGUGCCUUGUCUGCUGAUGAACUGCUUUGCAGAUGUUUCAGAGGGAACUGAGUUGUUCUCUGAGCUCCAUCUGAACACAGACAAAAAUUAUAGCAUCAUGUGAAAUGUACUGUCAGUUUCUGUCUUGCAGCUCUCUACAGGAUGAGAUUCCCAGAAACUGGAAAAAUACAUUUAAAAAUAUAUUUUAAUCACUAAGUUCCUGACAAAAAUAGUGAAAAGAACUUUCUCCCAAAGACAAAUCAGGAUUCCCUAAAAGUGUUGGAUCUUUGCUUGUCAUUUACUGUGACUCAUGCACAUCAUACAGCAGUACCCAAAGCUAUUGGCCAGGUAAAGCAAUCUGGAUAUCUUUGUAUGCUUUUGUUCUGAAAAUGUGUAUCGAUGUACAUCUUGGAUCUCUCAGGCUUCUUCAAUACAUUUAAGAUAUUAACAGGAUUAUUUGAGUUGGUAACCUGAAAUAAUCUGACACUGCAUUUAUUGAUGCAGAAGAUUAUUCUGAAAUUUGUGUCCAAAUGUCUUACUUACUUUACAGUUCCAUAUGAAUAAAAUAUUUUGCUUUGAACAUAGUUUUUCAUUUCCUUUGUAGUGAUUCUGUCUACUGGGGAGUCAUUCAUCCCUUAUCCUAGAGAUUUUUGCUUCUCAGC